UAUUCUAAAACUCAAUUUCAUAUUCUAAAUCUUCUCAAAUAUUGAUGCUAGCUUGGAAACCUUCUUGAGUUCCUUUUAUUCUCUUCAUAUAUAUAUAUACAUAUACAUAUACAUAUUUUGCUUCUGAAAACAGAAAAAGGAUAUGUCUAAGCGUUUUGAGCUCUUUGUCUUGCUCUUGGUGUUUGUUGCCACAUCUCAACAUGCAAUCAGUGUUGAACAACCCAUCAUGCCUAUGAUACUCCAACAAUAUCCAAAAAGGUAUCCGAAGAUUUUUGCUACCCUCGGAAUUGUUUGCAAGUGUUGCGAUGGUGAUAAAGGAGAAUGCGAAAGCGCAUGGGAAGGGCGUUGCUCUAAGCUCCAAUGUCUUCCAUGGAAAUAUGAUUGAUUCAUGAAUGUAAUUUUAAGAUAUUACAUAAAUGAUCUUAAAUAAUCUUUUAAGAUAUUGUAUUAUACAAAAUUUAGAAUUUGUACUCUUAGCUCUUUAUAUAUAUAUAUAUAUGGAUCAACUUUUAAU